rnacentral:rRNA from 1 species
CUCGGGAAACUGAGGAUAAUACCCUAUAGGUUACAGACGCUGGAAUGCCCUGUAACCGAAAGUUCCGGCGCCUUAGGAUGGAUCUGCGGCCGAUUAGGUUGUUGUUGGGGUAACGGCCCAACAAGCCGAUAAUCGGUACGGGUUGUGGGAGCAAGAGCCCGGAGUUGGAUUCUGAGACAUGAAUCCAGGCCCUGCGGGACGCAGCAGGCGCGAAAACUUUACAAUGCGGGAAACCGUGAUAAGGGAACCCCGAGUGCCUGUAUAUGCAGGCUGUCCAGGUGUCUAAAAAACACCUGAAGAAAGGGCCGGGCAAGACCGGUGCCAGCCGCCGCGGUAAUACCGGCGGCUCGAGUGGUGGCCACUUUUAUUGGGCUUAAAGCGUUCGUAGCUGGGUUGUUAAGUCUCUUGGGAAAUCUGACGGCUCAACCGUCAGGCGUCCAAGGGAUACUGGCAAUCUUGGAACCGGGAGAGGUGAGAGGUACUUCAGGGGUAGGGGGUGAAAUCUUGUAAUCCUUGAAGGACCACCAGUGGCGAAGGCGUCUCACCAGAACGGACCUGACGGCAAGGGACGAAAGCUAGGGGCACGAACCGGAUUAGAUACCCGGGUAGUCCUAGCCGUAAACGAUACUCGCUAGGUGUCGGCCACGGUGCGACCGUUGCCGGUGCCGUAGGGAAGCCGUGAAGCGAGCCACCUGGGAAGUACGGCCGCAAGGCUGAAACUUAAAGGAAUUGGCGGGGGAG